rnacentral:rRNA from 1 species
UGCGUAGACGGUUAUGUAAGUCAGGUGUGAAAGCCCCGGGCUCAACCUGGGAAUUGCAUUUGAGACUGCAUAGCUAGGGUGCGGAAGAGGGAAGCGGAAUUUCCGGUGUAGCGGUGAAAUGCGUAGAUAUCGGAAGGAACACCAGUGGCGAAAGCGGCUUCCUGGUCCAGCACCGACGUUCAGGCACGAAAGCGUGGGGAAGCAAACA